UACGUAGGGGGCAAGCGUUGUCCGGAUUUAUUGGGCGUAAAGCGCUCGCAGGCGGUCCGAUGCGUCGUGCGUGAAAGCCCCCGGCUCAACUGGGGAGGGUCGUGCGAUACGGUCGGACUUGAGGCCAGUAGGGGGAUGCGGAAUUCCUGGUGUAGCGGUGAAAUGCGCAGAUAUCAGGAAGAACACCAAUGGCGAAAGCAGCUCUCUGGGACGGUACUGACGCUGAGACGCGAAAGCGUGGGGAGCGAACAGG
rnacentral:rRNA from 1 species